GACGUAGGGUGCGAGCGUUGUCCGGAUUUAUUGGGCGUAAAGAGCUCGUAGGCGGCUCGUCGCGUCGACCGUGAAAACCCGCGGCUUAACUGCGGGCUUGCGGUUGAUACGGGCGGGCUAGAGUUCGGUAGGGGAGACUGGAAUUCCUGGUGUAGCGGUGAAAUGCGCAGAUAUCAGGAGGAACGCCGGUGGCGAAGGCGGGUCUCUGGGCCGAUACUGACGCUGAGGAGCGAAAGCGUGGGGAGCGAACAGG
rnacentral:rRNA from 1 species